AACCAAGAAUCCUCCUUAUCAACUUUCUCACAACUACUACUAGUAUAAACUGAAUGUCCAGCAACCAUAACAAGAUUCCUAAACUUGGAAAAUGGAUAUGCAUCAACACCCACAUCAAAUUUUGCAUAAUUACCCAUCAUCCGAAAUCGCCUCUCGGAAACAGACAAUACAAUGAGAAUAAUGACCCCAAUUAACAAAGAUAU
rnacentral:misc_RNA from 1 species